rnacentral:lncRNA from 1 species
GAAACGUUUGUGUUGCGCUAUUUUUUAUAUGCACAUUAAGAGGAUGACUCCAUUCUCAGGUGUAUAACAGGUAGAUAGGUCAUAGAUAGAGAAUAUAAGAUUAAGUUCGAGUUCUUAAAACUCAUACCUAUGAAACAUUCUUGACUCAUAAUUAUAUGAAAUGUUUAUGAACCCCUCAGCGAAUGGACGCCAAAGGUCUGACUAGGAUAAGUUCUUAAACUCAUAUGAUUGUGGCAAUUUAUGAACUCAUAAGUGUGGUUUGAUGAACUGGGUAUAGUUUUGUGUGAAUGGAGUGUUAUGGAUUACAGGAACAGAUAGAUUGUUAAGUAAAUGAUUUUUAGUGAAGGUGUUAGGUUUUCCUAAACUCCUAGCUAUGCUAAACUUCAAAAUUUUUGACAUCAAGCUAAAUACGCACUAUGUGCUUUUGAAAACAAAAAU